AACGAACGCUGGCGGCAUGCCUAACACAUGCAAGUCGAACGAGACCUUCGGGUCUAGUGGCGCACGGGUGCGUAACGCGUGGGAACCCGCCCUUAGGUUCGGAAUAACUCCCCGAAAGGGGUGCUAAUACCGGAUAAUGUCUUCGGACCAAAGAUUUAUCGCCUUUGGAUGGGCCCGCGUUGGAUUAGCUAGUUGGUAGGGUAAAAGCCUACCAAGGCGACGAUCCAUAGCUGGUCUGAGAGGAUGAUCAGCCACACUGGGACUGAGACACGGCCCAGACUCCUACGGGAAGCAGCAGUGGGGAAUAUUAGAAAAUGGGCGAAAGCCUGAUCCAGCAAUGCCGCGUGAGUGAUGAAGGCCUUAGGGUUGUAAAGCUCUUUUACCCGGGAUGAUAAUGACAGUACCGGGAGAAUAAGCUCCGGCUAACUCCGUG
rnacentral:rRNA from 1 species